rnacentral:misc_RNA from 1 species
UAAAAUAAAAUAAAAUAAAAAAGAGCAUGUUUUAUGUGGUAAAGGCCUUAAUGACCUAUACUUAAUGGAAAGCCCAAGGAUAACAGCCUUUACCUUUACGUAGCGGUGGUGAUGCCAUCACAUCUCAUGUCAAUUUGAUGAUGAGAAUAUUUGAGAUGCACAUUUCAUCUCUCAACCAUAUAUGCAUAUGGAUAUAUCCUCUUUUAUGAAUGACUUUCGUAAUUAUACGCAAGUUCAACUAAUAAAUUGAACUUAUGUUUCCAUUUCCUACAACACUUUUGUGCUUUAUAUACUGUACUGUCUUUUAACAUAGCAGAAUUUGUGUCACCUGUAUCUUCAAAAUAUCAAGGAAACUAAACUGAAUGGGAAGUAAACUACCAGUAAGCAAGAUUGAUCUUCAUUCAUUAUCAGGUUUAGUGAUAUCCUUCGUAGAGAAAAGGAAGACUAAAGAAGAGGGAAAGAAAAUGACAGGG